rnacentral:rRNA from 1 species
UACGUAGGGCGCAAGCGUUGUCCGGAAUUAUUGGGCGUAAAGAGCUCGUAGGCGGCUUGUCACGUCGGGUGUGAAAGCCCGGGGCUUAACCCCGGGUCUGCAUUCGAUACGGGCUAGCUAGAGUGUGGUAGGGGAGAUCGGAAUUCCUGGUGUAGCGGUGAAAUGCGCAGAUAUCAGGAGGAACACCGGUGGCGAAGGCGGAUCUCUGGGCCAGUACUGACGCUGAGGAGCGAAAGCGUGGGGAGCGAACAGG